AAUAUGGAGUUCUUCUGAGGUGGGCUUGGUAAUAGUGAGCCUCCCAUAACCUACUAAGAGUUUCAUCUAAAACUCUCGAAUUCCAAUGAGGGGUAUGGAAUUUGCCAAAAAUAGUGGGUGAUGCUAUUUGAUUUAAAGACCCGAAUCAAAUGGCUUAAAAUCAAUCAAUUUAUAUUCGUUAUGUAUUUGAUUACCAAUAUAUUUGCAAACGCUAUCCAACACUUGACAAAAUAAAAAAACCGAAUGUUUUAGUUUCCGUACUUAGGUACCACAAUCCCAAAGAAUGUCUUAAAAGGAUUGCAUAUGUAUCUAAGUAGUCUCUUCCUCACAAUCUUACUAUUGAUAAUGUAUCAUUAGAAGAAUAUGUUAGAAAAGGUCUAUCAUAAAGAGGACAACACUUUUAAAUGUCAUAAUUCUUCAAUUACAAUUUGUUGUAUGAAGAAAUAGGAGUUGCUUUGAACAACUCUUAGUCAAUGCAAACACUAGUGCUUGUUUCUUUGUUAAAUGAACAAAGAACUUUGAGAAGAAAGCACAAAGGCAUGAACACUUUAUGUGCCAUGAUUCUUCACUUACAAAUUGUUGUAUGAAGAAAUGAGAGUUGCCUUGUACAACUCUUGAAGGUUUGUAAUUAUGUUUAGAACAUAAUGGUUGGUUGACAAAAAUAGUCCAUUAACAUGGACUUAUGAUGAUUUUGAAUCAUUGAAUGUUGAAGUGAUAAACCACUUAACGAGACGGAAACUAGGCAAGGACUUCACCUUUGUUUCCCUAUCCUAAUCAUUCACUAAGUUUAUUGUAAACUAUAUAGUGAAAAAUAACCACAUACUCUCCAAAAUUGUUUGAUGUGUAUAACACAAUUGAAAAAGGUUUCAAGAGAGAUAAUGGGAGUUUAGGGACCAUGACUAAUGUAGUUAAAGGUGAAAGUCAAAUAAAGAAGAUAAAUAACUCCAAGGGAACAAACUUUCUUUAUGAAAUGAUGGACAUUGGAAGGAGUAUUUGCAAGAAAUGUCUUGCAAGUGUCAAGGACACACCUUUCGAAGGUGUUGUAAAUUGUUCUUGAAUAGUUCAAAACAGUUGGUUCUUCUACUUGAAUGCAUGAUUCCGUAUUAGUAACUAUGUUUUACAAUCGUUGUAAAAGUGUGGCUAAUAAGAAGUAGAAGAUUAAUGAGAGAAGAGAAAGUACUUCACAUUCGAAGCGUGAAUCAAAUGUAGAUCUCUGCGAAAGCAGAUGGUACUUACUUCCUCAUAUGAACUACCAAAGAAAUUGGAAAAACAUAGAUUGUCUUUAUAUUCCAAUUUUAAGGAACUAAAUUCCGUCACUAUGUGAAAUGGAUAAAUGUUUUUGUUUGACAAAACAAUGUUCUUUAUUAAUCAAUGAUUAGAUUAUGGUAAUCUAAUUAAUUAUCUCUAUAGUAGAGAUAAUAUGGUAGUGUUAACUGUGUUUAGAAAAUAAUGAUGCUUAAAAACCCAAAAGGUUGCAAGGAAGUGACUAAUCCCAACUAAGUUGUGAUUCCUCUAAAAACAUAAGUUAUGAGUUGGUGAAAGAUGGAUGCUUUGGAUCGUUAGAUCCGGAUCCAAUACCUUCUUGUUAAAAUUGUAUAGAGGCGAAAUGUUCGAAUCUUUAUUCUUUUGGAAAGAAGAAAGAAUCACAAAGUUGUUGAGGUUAAUUCACUUAGAUGUUAGUGGCACAUGUCCACAAACAUAAUACUACUCAUGUUGGAUAACAUUCACCGAAGAUUACUCUCGGUUGGACUAUAGUUUAUUUUGAAUAAACACAAGUCCGAAUACUUUGCAAAUGUUUCAAAGAAUUCAAGUAAUGUAAGUUGAUGAGUAAGACGUCUAAAGUAUUUACCUCCUUAGAUUUGAUCCAAGGAAAGGUAACACUUUAGAUGAGUUUUCCUUGAAAGAUAUCAAGGAAAAUAGCAUCAUAAGAUAAUGUAUUUCUCCAUUAGGAGAAGAACGAACUAGAAUAAGAUUUAGUUCGUUAGAUGUUAUCUAUUACCCAUAUAUAGGAUAUAUACUUCUAAAACAAUAUGAUUGUCAAUGAGAAGAUCUUCCAAUAUUUUCAUAACUCCAUAAGAUGUAGUUUGAAAAGAAAGACAAAUCUUAAGCAUGUUAAGAUUUGGGGUUGUGUGCUAAUAAGCAAUAUUUGUUUGAUAACAAUCUUGCAGGAUAUCCUUAAAAUAACUUUUUGAUAUCGCUUUUAUAAACCAACUAACAAAUGUUGUUUUGUUGGGUAGUUCAUUGUAAUUCUACAAUGUGAUUUGCCU
rnacentral:lncRNA from 1 species